UACGGAGGGUGCAAGCGUUAUCCGGAUUCACUGGGUUUAAAGGGUGCGUAGGAGGAAAGGUAAGUCAGUGGUGAAAUCUCCAAGCUUAACUUGGAAACUGCCGUUGAUACUAUCUUUCUUGAAUACCGUGGAGGUGAGCGGAAUAUGUCAUGUAGCGGUGAAAUGCUUAGAUAUGACAUAGAACACCAAUUGCGAAGGCAGCUCACUACACAAUCAUUGACGCUGAGGCACGAAAGCGUGGGGAUCAAACAGG
rnacentral:rRNA from 1 species